rnacentral:rRNA from 1 species
CAUGUAGGCGGAUUAAUAAGUUUGAAGUGAAAUCCUAUAGCUUAACUAUAGAACUGCUUUGAAAACUGUUAAUCUAGAAUGUGGGAGAGGUAGAUGGAAUUUCUGGUGUAGGGUAAAAGUCCGUAGAGAUCAGAAGGAAUACCGAUUGCGAAGGCGAUCUACUGGAACAUUAUUGACGCUGAGAUGCGAAAGCGUGGGGAGCAAACA